rnacentral:rRNA from 1 species
GAUGAACGCUGGCGGCGUGCCUAAUACAUGCAAGUCGAGCGAACAGACGAGGAGCUUGCUCCACUGACGUUAGCGGCGGAAGGGUGAGUAACACGUGGAUAACCUACCUAUAAGACUGGGAUAACUUCGGGAAACCGGAGCUAAUACCGGAUAAUAUAUUGAACCGCAUGGUUCAAUAGUUAAAGACGGUUUUGCUGUCACUUAUAGAUGGAUCCGCGCCGCAUUAGCUAGUUGGUAAGGUAACGGCUUACCAAGGCGACGAUGCGUAGCCGACCUGAGAGGGUGUUCGGCCACACUGGAACUGAGACACGGUCCAGACUCCGACGGGAGGCAGCAGUAGGGAAUCUUCCGCGAUGGGCGAAAGCCUGACGGAGCAACGCCGCUUGAGUGAUGAAGCUCUUCGGAUCGUAAAACGCUGUUAUUAGUGAAGAACAAAUGUGUAAGUAACUAUGCACGUCUUGACGGUACCUAAACAGAAAGCCACGGCUAACUACGUG